UGCUGAAUUAUUCACCCUUGUCUUUUGCGUACUUCUUGUUUCCUUGGUGGGUUCGCCCACCACUAGGACAAACAUAAACCUUUUGUAAUUGCAAUCAGCGUCAGUAACAAAUUAAUAAUUACAACUUUCAACAACGGAUCUCUUGGUUCUGGCAUCGAUGAAGAACGCAGCGAAAUGCGAUAAGUAGUGUGAAUUGCAGAAUUCAGUGAAUCAUCGAAUCUUUGAACGCACAUUGCGCCCUUUGGUAUUCCAAAGGGCAUGCCUGUUCGAGCGUCAUUUGUACCCUCAAGCUUUGCUUGGUGUUGGGCGUCUUGUCUCUAGCUUUGCUGGAGACUCGCCUUAAAGUAAUUGGCAGCCGGCCUACUGGUUUCGGAGCGCAGCACAAGUCGCACUCUCUAUCAGCAAAGGUCUAGCAUCCAUUAAGCCUUUCGGCGAGUGAAGCGGCAACAGCUCAAAUUUGAAAUCUGGCUCUUUUAGAGUCCGAGUUGUAAUUUGCAGAGGGCGCUUUGGCUUUGGCAGCGGUCCAAGUUCCUUGGAACAGGACGUCACAGAGGGUGAGAAUCCCGUACGUGGUCGCUGGCUAUUGCCGUGUAAAGCCCCUUCGACGAGUCGAGUUGUUUGGGAAUGCAGCUCUAAAUGGGAGGUACAUUUCUUCUAAAGCUAAAUAUUGGCCAGAGACCGAUAGCGCACAAGUAGAGUGAUCGAAAGAUGAAAAGCACUUUGGAAAGAGAGUCAAACAGCACGUGAAAUUGUUGAAAGGGAAGCGCUUGCAGCCAGACUUGCUUGCAGUUGCUCAUCCGGGUUUUUACCCGGUGCACUCUUCUGUAGGCAGGCCAGCAUCAGUUUGGGCGGUAGGAUAAAGGUCUCUGUCACGUACCUCCUUUCGGGGAGGCCUUAUAGGGGAGACGACAUACUACCAGCCUGGACUGAGGUCCGCGCAUCUGCUAGGAUGCUGGCGUAAUGGCUGUAAGCGGCCCGUCUUGAAACACGGACCAAGGAGUCUAACAUCUAUGCGAGUGUUUGGGUGUCAAGCCCGAGCGCGUAAUGAAAGUGAACGGAGGUGGGAACCCGCAAGGGUGCACCAUCGACCGAUCCUGAUGUCUUCGGAAGGAUUUGAGUAAGAGCAUG
rnacentral:sRNA from 1 species